rnacentral:rRNA from 1 species
CCUACGGGGGGCAGCAGUGGGGAAUAUUGGACAAUGGGGGCAACCCUGAUCCAGCCAUGCCGCGUGUGUGAAGAAGGCCCUCGGGUUGUAAAGCACUUUCAGUGAGGAAGAACGCCUGGUGGUUAAUACCCAUCAGGAAAGACAUCACUCACAGAAGAAGCACCGGCUAACUCCGUGCCAGCAGCCGCGGUAAUACGGAGGGUGCGAGCGUUAAUCGGAAUUACUGGGUGUAAAGCGCGCGUAGGUGGCUUGAUAAGCCGGUUGUGAAAGCCCCGGGCUCAACCUGGGAACGGCAUCCGGAACUGUCAAGCUAGAGUGCAGGAGAGGAAGGUAGAAUUCCCGGUGUAGCGGUGAAAUGCGUAGAGAUCGGGAGGAAUACCAGUGGCGAAGGCGGCCUUCUGGACUGACACUGACACUGAGGUGCGAAAGCGUGGGUAGCAAACAGGAUUAGAUACCCGUGUAGUC